rnacentral:lncRNA from 1 species
AAUCUACUAAUGACACCUAGCAUUAUGUAGUGACAACCCAAUAGAACCGAAAUGAACCUCUAGGUAUAGUUAAUGUAUGAUUCAAUCCCUUAAUCGUGAGUCUCGAUUAGAUGGUAGGUCAUAGAUUAAUCGUCAAACCUCAAUGUCAGUCAUAUGAUAGAUUCGAUCAGCUCAAGUCCAACUAUGAUUUUUAUGAAAACUCUUUUCCAUCUAUCACACUACUGUGGCCACAAAUUUUUAGAAUUAGCCUCUCAAAUCUCAUAGAACUACUCCUCUCUAUCAA